rnacentral:rRNA from 1 species
CAAUAGCGUAUAUUUAAGUUGUUGCAGUUAAAAAGCUCGUAGUUGGAUUUCUGGUGGGAGCGAUCGGUCUGGCGCUUAGCGCGAGUACUUGCAUCGUCUCCGGCCAUCCUUGGGGAGAGUCUGUCUGGCAUUAGGUUGUCGGGCAGAGGAUCCUCAUCGUUUACUGUGAAAAAAUUAGAGUGUUCAAAGCAGGCUUAUGCCGUUGAAUAUAUUAGCAUGGAAUAAUAAGAUAGGACUUUGGUACUAUUUUGUUGGUUUGCGCACCAAAGUAAUGAUUAAUAGGGACAGUUGGGGGUAUUCGUAUUCCGUUGUCAGUGGUGAAAUUCUUGGAUUUACGGAAGACGAACUACUGCGAAAGCAUUUACCAAGGAUGUUUNCAUUAA